ensembl:lncRNA
UAUAAUAAUCAAGUGCCUUGUAUUAUUAAUUACCUUAUAUGAAUCAUGUACUUAUGUAAGCAGGAACAUGGCUUUUCUGUGUUUCUGCGUGUGUGUAACUUAGAAUAUUAGGUGCCACUUAGUCUGCAUAUGUACAAGAGCAUGUUUAGACCAGAAGUGAUAAGAAGGGUCGAACUGUGCUUCUUCCGACCUUGCAAAACUUCCAUCCUUGCCUCGGACGUGAGAAAUCCACCACGUGAUUUCCCUGCUGAACGCUCAACUUCUGUCUAUAUAAACCUUGUGCGAUGUGUUUAUCAUUGCUUCACUUUCAGCCUUGUGCUGGGAGUGAGCCCGAUUGCAAUUGUUGUUUGUCUAAUAAAUAUACUUAUAUGCAGCUCCGGAGUCCUGAGGUAACUAGGGUGAAUUUUCACCUAUCAUUUUUGGGGGCUCGUGACCGGGAUUCCAACAACCUCAACGGCUCUCCACGCUGGGCUAAUCAUCAGGAUCUGAACCAUACGGAGGAGUACGAGACUCUGUUUUUCUAAAGACCUCCAAAUUGAAUUGGAAGGAGGCCAGGGCCUGCCAGCGGGGAGAGCCGAGAGUGAAGGAAAAUAAUUGGACUGUAGGGUGUGGACUCCGAGCUGUUUGAACACUGUGAGGCUGAAUUCAAGGUUGGACCAGGAGAUUGGGUCCUAAUCAACAGCCUCAAAAGAAAACACUGCCAUUCACCCAAGUGGGACAGACCAUAACAAGUGCUACUGUCAACACCUACCAGAGUCAAAAUAGCUGAUAGAGCCACGUGGAUACUUCUGGCUCAAUGCAAACGGGUAAGCCUGCACACGGCUGAGGCAGAGGAAUAAAGAUCAUCUUUCUUUGCUGUUUCCAGGGUGUGCCCACUGUGACAGAAGUCCAGCCUACAAAGGGGUUUAGAUGUUUAGAUUCUAUUUGUCUCAACCGCUGGCAGAAGAUACAGUAAUGUCCUGGGGGAUUAGAACCUAGUGGAAAUUGUGGAGUAAGAGGUCUCUUCCUCUGCAAGGUCAUGGGAGGUUACGGAAAGUGGGCAAAGGAUGUGGGGGACUCUUAGCAACGACUGUAGGAUUUUACAUUGUUGGUCUAGUAACAUACUUAUGGAUGAUACAGUAAACACAGGCCCUGGACGAAUAUCCACGAUGGGGCCUGGCUAAAGAUCAUCCGUGAUGGAAAUGGGUAAAUCAGACCGUCAGAACGCAAAUACCACAAGUUAGUUUAGUCUGUUUAGUCUGUACAGGGCCAAGGGUGCCGACCAAACCACUCCUGGCGACCCCUGUACCUUAUGACAUAGAUCACUGCGACAAAGAAUUUAGAGAAACUGAAGCCUGGAAGAAACAUGGUCAACUUACUCUUAGCUAUCAAGUGCACGUGUGAGAUGUGCCAUCUAGCGGACACCUCGUGUCGUAGAAAAGAAUGUUCAUAUCUUCCUGCCCAAUGUAACUACAUACAACAGCCAAUGUGUUCUGCAGAAUGUUUGCUGAUGAUGGGAAAUGGGGCGUUUAAUGAUACAGCUAUACAGCAUGACUGUUCACAUUUUAACUGACCCUACAUGCCAGACAAUGUUGCCCCACCUCCACACAUUAUUAGAAAAGAUGCUCUGUUUGAAUGCUAUUUAAAACCUGGGGAAAAGAACGAUCCACACCUAGGACACUGGACACAAUGUAAAAUGUGAUAGAUAAUGGGAAAGAAAUACAGUUAAUUACUUCCACUGAAUGUAGAAUAGCGGGGAUGUGUUUGAAUGGCAGACUUCUUGAAGUACAGGAUAUAGCCAUAGCUGAUAAGUGGGGAUGGUGAAUUAAGAGCUACACUACCUGUGGGUUGGUCUGGGCCUUGUGCUAGAACAAUGUUGGUACAACCUUUUCAGAUUUCCCCCAGGUCCAAGACUCACCAGUACCUGAGGAACGUUCCAAUGCAUUCCGUACGAGGGAGGAGAGAAGCAGGGGAUGACAGCGGGAUCUGGUCCGAUGGCCUGGGCAUUCCCUGAGGCAUUCCAGACCACUACAAAAACUUGAAGAUGCCGACGAGGACUACGCGUUCACGGUGAGAGACGGAGGAACCAGAACCCAGCGGCAGCCGGCGUGCAGCAUCCAAGAGAGGGGUCUGAUGGUGGACACGGGAGCUACCUCUCAUGUCAUCACUGACAUAACCGUCUUCAAGAGUUUCGACAGCGCGUUCAGGCCAGAAACGCACAUUGUCGAGCUGGCAGACGGCACCCGGUGCAGCGGGAUUGCUCAGCGGAGGGGGAAUGCUGAGGUUUCCCUCAUCGACAGCAACGGACAGCGACGAAAGGCGACACUGAGAGACGCUUUGUUCGUACCGUCAUAUCCCCAGAGCAUCUUCUCGGUGAAGGCAGCUGAUGGAGAUAAUUUCUAAACACUGUUAAUGACUUAAGAAUAUAAUAAUCAAGUGCCUUGUAUUAUUAAUUACCUUAUAUGAAUCAUGUACUUAUGUAAGCAGGAACAUGGCUUUUCUGUGUUUCUGCGUGUGUGUAACUUAGAAUAUUAGGUGCCACUUAGUCUGCAUAUGUACAAGAGCAUGUUUAGACCAGAAGUGAUAAGAAGGGUCGAACUGUGCUUCUUCCGACCUUGCAAAACUUCCAUCCUUGCCUCGGACGUGAGAAAUCCACCACGUGAUUUCCCUGCUGAACGCUCAACUUCUGUCUAUAUAAACCUUGUGCGAUGUGUUUAUCAUUGCUUCACUUUCAGCCUUGUGCUGGGAGUGAGCCCGAUUGCAAUUGUUGUUUGUCUAAUAAAUAUACUUAUAUGCAGCUCCGGAGUCCUGAGGUAACUAGGGUGAAUUUUCACCUAUCAGCAGCUACUACGAGUGGAGCUACGGUUGUCUUCAAAGAAGAUAAAGAUGUCCUGAUAACCAGAGGCGGUACCAGAUUUAACAUUCAUGUGUAUGGAAAGCUGUAUUAUUUGCAUACUGAAUCUGAAUCUAAUGAUAAGUGUAAUGCCUGUCACGACAUACAGACAUGGCAUGAAAUAUUAGGCCAUUGUAACUAUGACGAUGUUCUUAAGUUGCAAAAUGUUGUUGUAGGUAUGCAGAUCAAAGGCAAAACGGGUAGGCCCGAACAAGAGUGUGAGGUGUGUAUUCAGGGAAAGUUUGCCCAAACCAGAAAUAGGGACCCUGAUACCAGAGCAAAGGCUCCCUUACAGAUGGUACACACAGAUCUUGCAGGUCCUGUAGCCACUGAGUCGAGAGAUGGUUACAAAUAUGUGCAAUCAUUUACUGAUGAUUACUCAAGCGCAGUGUUUGUUUAUUUUCUAAAGAAGAAAAGUGACACAAUACAGGCUACGGAAAAGUUCCUAGCAGAUAUAUCCCCUUAUGGGAAGGUGAGGUGCAUCAGAUCCGACAACGGAACAGAGUUUACAUGCAGUGAUUUCCAAGCAGUGUUGAGGAAAAAUAAGAUCAGACAUGAAACGUCAGCUCCUUAUUCCCCACACCAGAACGGAACAGCAGAGAGGGGUUGGCGUACUCUUUUUGAGAUGGGUAGGUGCAUGAUAGUUGAAAGUGCAUUACCAAAGCAGCUAUGGACCUACGCUGUACAAACAGCAGCAAUGGUACGGAACAGAUGUUUUAACAGACGUGUUGUUUUCCAGGACUCUUGGAGAUUACCUUCUUUCCUCCUGAAAGAGUAGUAAAUGGCUCCUGUGUUUGUUGUUUUCCAGGACUCUUGGAGAUUACCUUAUUUCCUCCUGAAAGAGUAGUAAAGGGCUCCUGUGUUUGUAACUUUCACUAUUUUUACUAUUUCAGAAGGCUUUUAUUACUUUUACUCCUUUUAUUCCUUUUAUACCUUAUAUCAUGUAUUGCUCUUGCUGCCUGCUUUUAUUGAUGUUUUGUAAAGCACUUUGAACUGCAACUCUUGUACGAAAUGUGCUAUAUAAAUAAAGUCUUACUUAC